UACCCGCAGCACAAGUGGUGGUCAUUAUUAUUGGGCCUAAAGCGUCCGUAGCUGGCUUGUUAGAUGCCUGGGUAAAUCGAUGCGCUCAACGUAUCGAACUCCGGGUAGACCGGCAAGCUUGGGACCGGGAGAGGCGUGAGCUACUCGGGGGGUAGGGGUAAAAUCCUGUAAUCCUCCGGGGAGGACCAAUGGCGAAGGCGUCACGCUAGAACGGCUCCGACAGUGAGGGACGAAGCCCUGGGGCGCGAAACCGG
rnacentral:rRNA from 1 species